AGAUUUUAUAGCAGAUAACAGUUAGAUGGCGUUAUAAGAUCUUAUUCUUCUUUUAUUGAAUUCUUUUGUCUAAUUCACUUUUGUUCUUGCACUCGCCUUCAAUUGUUUUUUGGGUUUGCUCUUGCUUGCCGUUUGAGUUGUCAGCUAGUUCCGAGCAAAAGAUUCUGAAAAGUUUCACAAGAGAAAGCUACAAUUCUCCAAAACGAUAUCAAGUACCGUAAUCUGGAUCGAGGUGACAUAUCGAGAGGAUACGUAUUUUAAAAAAUAAAGUCUACGGAAUAGAGAUCUGAAAGAGAAAACUAUCUAAAUUUCUUGGCUAAUUAUUUGAAACUUAGACCUAAAAUAUACAUAAUACCUAAAACUGCAGAAAUCGAUUCUUUACAAGUUGCGAACUCAUAUUAGAAGAUAUUCUGGUCACCAAGGAAAACUAAUAGGUAUUUAACCUAAGUUAAAGAUGUCGCUAAAAGAGAUAAAGGAGACAGUUGAAGCCUCAUCAGAGCUUGCAAAUACAAAAAAAACUUAUGUGAUAACUAAGCCGCCUGAUCUAUCACCUGAAGCUCAGGCUGAAAUAGAUAAGUGCUGUCAUCCUGAUUAUUUUGAGAAUAUGACAAAAGAAGAAUGGGAACGGACAAAAGGAAUGGCGCAACUCAUGGCUUAUUAUAAUCCUAAAGGUCGUAAUUCACAAAGGUGUAAUAUUCGGAAAAAAAAAAACAAAAACUGAAGCUGAGCCGAAGAAUCAUAAUACUGUUAGAUUUUAAAUUACUGUGUGAAAAUAUGUACUUCUCUUUUAAUUAAUUAACAAUAUGAAUUUAAAAAAAUGUUUCUUUGUUAGCAAAGUUGAAAUAUCACUAUUGUAAAUUCUUUAACUAUGUCUGCUUUAUUCACGUUGUCUUAGUUAAGCACGAUGCAGCAUAGCAUCUAAUUAAUUAUGUUUUAUUUUUCUGAGCACAUCGAAUGUGUAUUUCUAAUUGGAUUGCAAUUGAAUCUCGGAACUUCUCGGAUAUAUAGAUUUUAUACAAAUAAAUAGAAUAAAUUUAUACACUUUAGCAUA